CGGCAACAUUAACGGUUUGGAUCCAUAUGAAAUUCCCAACAAAUAGUGGAGUACCGACGGAGACUUGUUGCCGCACAUUUGCAUUACAGAUAUCUUCGGCUACCUUGUUUGUUUUGUGAGCGCCUACACUUCAGAAUAGUUCCGAAGCUACAAGUCAUUGGAGUCUCAUGUGCAGUUCACAAAUGGAUAUGUUCAGGAGUUGCAGAUCAUAAAACCGGCAAACAGUAUACGUUACAGUAAUCUGGACAAAGACAGGAAUGAUGAAUGUGCACAGACCAAUGGCCAAGUGAAAGAGCUCUGUCUGGAGGUCUGGGGUUUCAUGAGACAGCAGCUACCAAUCUCUACUCGUCACCUUUCACUCCCUCUCAAGGAUUUGACCGAGUUAGAGAAACCAGAGCGGAUCGUUCAACUAAAGAUGCCAGACGUGAUGGUCAUUUAAGAGUUAUUUAUAUUUAUUUUACUUGAUUUUUAUUUGUUUAUUUUGAGAAAAGAACGUUUUUCAUUCAACACACAUCUACCAGGUGAAUGCUGUUUUUAAUGUUUUCUAGCAGGAAAACUACAUCACCAUGACAUUUAUUUGUAACCUAUCCAUGUUUUGUGUGAA